AUGGGCGUGCGCGCGGACGGCGGCGGCAAGGGCCGGCGGCCGUCCUUCCCCGGGCGGUGCGCGCGGCUCGUCAAGGAGCAGCGCGCGCGGUUCUACAUCAUGCGCCGCUGCGUCACCAUGCUCGUGUGCUGGCGCGACUACGCCUGA
rnacentral:rRNA from 1 species